rnacentral:tRNA from 1 species
GUCUUAGUAGUUUACAUAAAACAUUGGUCUUGUAAAUCAAAAAUAAAAAUUUUUUUUUCUAAGACU